rnacentral:rRNA from 1 species
AUUGAACGCUGGCGGCAGGCCUAACACAUGCAAGUCGAGCGAGCGGCGGACGGGUGAGUCCUGUAUGGGGACUGCCCGCUCGAGGGGGAUCACUACUGGCAACGGUGGCUAAUACCGCAUACUGUCGUAUAACCCAUAUGGGAUUAGCUAGUAGGUAAGGUAAUGGCUUACCUAGGCGACGAUCCCUAGCUGGUCUGAGAGGAUGAUCAGCCACACUGGGAAUGAGACACGGCCCAGACUCCUACGGAGGCAGCAGUGGGGAAUAUUGCACAAUGGGCGCAAGCCUGAUGCAGCCAUGCCGCGGGUAUGAAGAAGGCCCUAGGGGUGUAAAGUACUUUCAGUCGGGAGGCGUUACCGACAGAAGAAGCACCGGCUAACUCCGUGCCAGCCGCCGCGGUAAUAC